GGGCAGGUCGUUCACAAACAAAUUGAAAAGAAGAGGACCUAAAUGACUUCCUUGAGGAACUCCAGAGGUUACUUUCACAACAUUCGACAAGACAUUGUUAAACAAAACACGCUGUUUGCGAUUCGACAGGUAUGAUGAUAUCCAAAUUACAAGAUUUGUGGGAAAACCUAAUAAAGAGAGUUUAUGGAUCAGCAAAGUAUGAUUAACAGAAUCAAAAGCUUUACUGAAAUCUGUAAAAAUGACGUCAGUCUGCAAGCCACUUUGAAAUCCUCGGUUGAUUAGAGACGAGAAUUCUAAAAGGUUAGUAGAUGUUGAUCGAUGUCUAAAAAAACCAUGUUGAGACGGGGAUAUAAUGCUAGACAUGCGUAUUGCAAUUGACGAGUAACAAGGUGCUCGAGCAACUUCGGAAUGGCAGAUAGUAUAGCAAUACCACGAUAGUUUUCGAUAUUAGAUCUGGACCCUUUCUUGUGAAGAGGAAUAAGGUAGGAUUCAUUUCAGAUCAUGGGGAGGCGAGAACGCU
rnacentral:lncRNA from 1 species